GAUGAAGAACGCAGCGAAAUGCGAUAAGUAAUGUGAAUUGCAGAAUUCAGUGAAUCAUCGAAUCUUUGAACGCACCUUGCGCCCUUUGGCCAUUCCGAAGGGCAUGCCUGUUUGAGUAUCAUGAACACCUCAACUCUUUAUGGUUUUCCAUGAUGAGCUUGGACUCUGGGGGUUUUGCUGGCUCACAGUCGGCUCCUCUAAAAUGAAUCAGCUUACCAGUGUUUGGUGGGUAUCAUGGGUGUGAUAACUAUCUACGCUUGUGGUUUUCCACCAGGCAACCUUCAGUAAUUGGGGUUCACUGGGGCUCACAAAUGUCUUUCUUCAGUGAGGACAGCUCUUUGAAUGUUUGAUCUCAAAUCAGGUAGGACUACCCGCUGAACUUAAGCAUAUCAAUAAGCGGAGGA
rnacentral:misc_RNA from 1 species